UACGGGGGGGGCAAGCGUUGUCCGGAUUUAUUGGGCGUAAAGAGCGUGUAGGCGGCCAGGCAGGUCUGUUGUGAAAACUCGAGGCUCAACCUCGAGAUGUCGGCGGAAACCAUCUGGCUAGAGUCCGGAAGAGGAGAAUGGAAUUCCCGGUGUAGCGGUGAAAUGCGCAGAUAUCGGGAAGAACACCCGUGGCGAAGGCGGUUCUCUGGGACGGUACUGACGCUGAGACGCGAAAGCGUGGGGAGCGAACAGG
rnacentral:rRNA from 1 species